GGCCUGGGUGCUCUGAUGGAGCCUAUGUGGGCGCAGCCUGGGUGCUAUAGACCCAAACAUCACAACAAGAUUCCUUGUGGUGGAUCUGUGAGCAAAGACAGGAAUUUCAUGAGCGUAUUCAGAAGCCUGCCAAGGUAAAAGGUCCCUUCAGACACUGAAGGGCAAGCAGACAGCAGCAUGGCAGCUAGGAGACCAAGAUCAAAUCGACCCCAUUUUCAAGGCACCAUGUGAGCCUAAUGCCCUAGAAUUAUGGGGCGGGUGAGUAAUUAAAGUUUUCUCUGUCUAAGGUUCACGCUAAGCCAUGAGUCUUAUACCAGGAGCCGUUUCUACAGACACACCACUUAGUUUCUAUUCUUCCCCCCCAACUUUGCCCAUGUCCCUCCUCUUCUUCCUCUUUGUUCUUCCAAGAAUAUGACAUUAUAUACCAUAAAUCAGUUGUGUCAUCGUGAGCACAGCAUGACAAGGUGGCUUUCUUGCCUGUGUGACACAGGGGGUGGGGUUGAAUUUCUGCCCCAGCUUUACUACCCCAAGGUUUGAUAUCAUCACCCACAGAACAGGAUUGCCAAUGCAAUGACCUGAAGGCUUUUUUUUUUUUUGGAAUAUUGGUCAUACUCCCAGCAGAAGAAAUGAAAACUGAGGUUUAUCUGCAUCAGCAAGCACACAAUUUCUUAUAAUUUAUGGUCAGUUGUUUCCUUAAAUGCCUAUCAGUGAAAAUACAAUCAGCAGCAAGACUGGGGCCAGAUCUUCCUGCAUUGGGACCACAUGACUUCUCUUGGAGACAAAGCAUGUGAAAUUGAUAUUCAGAUCUCCUUGCUUGAGGCUGGAGGAAGGGAAGGCCACAACCUAAAGACGCUUCAUGCUAAGUGAAUAGAGAGACUCCUCCCUGCUAACACACAAGGGUUAGUCUCCACAGGCCGCUUCCAGUCAGGAGUGCACAAGGCUUCAUGGGCUAACAGCCAGCUUCUCUCAGGGACUUUGGGAAAGGGAGCUAUGUGAGAACACACUAUUGAAUGUAACAUUCUAUUACUCAUGCAGAUAUAUUGAAGGAGGCUAUUGAGAAGGAAGAAACUAUGAUUUUCCACCUGGGGAAAUCAAUUGCCAGCCAAGACAUCUGUUGUUAUGCAGCCAUCCAAAAGAGAUCACUUCUGGUGUCUUCUGAGGUCCAGGUAGCUGUGGUGCCUGACAUUUCCACAUUUCCAUGAUUGGAUGAUAACCUGUAACACAAACACAACUCACUAUGACUAAUCUAUUUCCACUGAGCUUGACAGAUAAACACCCGGGACAUGGCUGCUUCCUUUCUAUUUGGGUCAUGGAAGUCAAUUUUCACAGGACAAACAGAGCUGAGCAGGAAGCGUGCUACUGCCUUGUUCCAAAGGUCAACAGAAGAUACUCCGUCAGUAUAUUUGUUAGCUUCCUCUUCUCUGGCAGAUGCCUGACAAACACCUUAAGGAAGGAGACAUUUUUCUUGCCUCGCUGUCUGAGUGAGCGCCGGCAAUCCUGGCAGGGAGGGUGUGGUGCAGCAGAGUGGACCCACACCACCAACAAGGAGGGAUGGAGACAGAAUGGGGGUGGGCAUGAAUUCAGAGUAAGUCUGCUCUCCAGGGCUCUCCCCAUCUCUUUUACUUUCCAGGGCCCCUCAGUCUACAGGAUGGUGGGGUGCUAUCCACAUCCAGCACAAGUGUUCCCCACUUACACAAUUUUCCCUGGAUGUGACCUCACAGACACACCCAUGAGUGAACUUUACCAGUCUCCUAGUUGUGAACUUUUCAGUAUAAUGAAGUUGAUAAGUUUAGCCAUCAGGGGUUGUGGAGAUGGCUUGAUAGAUCAAGUGCUUGCCCCAAAGAAUUUGGAUCAUCAGAACCAGUGUAAAAGUCAGGCGGGUGUGGUAGCCAGCCUGUAAUCCCAGCAAGCUGGAGGGGAGGUAGGGAGUCCCUGGAGCAUGCUGGCUAGGUAGACUAGCCAAUGUAAGAAGCUCAGGGAUCAGCAAGGGACCCUGCCUCAAUACAUAAGUGAAUAGUCAAGGAACACACUCAACAUCAACCUCAGGCUUCCACACAUAUGUGUACAUGCACCCAUACACCUACAUAAUGUAUAUACAACACACACACACACACUCAACAAAGGAAAGAAAAAAGGUUAGUCACAGUCAGUAAACUUGAAAUUAGGGGAACAGUCUGGAUUAUGAUAACAAAACUCCUCAGAUGCUGUUCUGUAACAAGAGAGACCACUGAGAGGACGGCCCAAUGCUGCUUCGGAAUAUGCUAUUGCUAUAGAGAAGUCUGUAUGAAGAGCCAAAUCAUACGCGGUUCUCUUCUGGGUAUCCAUGUACCAGGAGAGGGUGAGAGGCAGUGGAGAAGGUGGCUGGACUGACAGCCAUGGCUGGCCCCAUUAGGCUGUGUGGAGCUGAUACAUCGUUCGCCCCUGGAGGGACAGAUCUGACAGGUGGUAGGAAUAUGUGGAACCAGUGGUCAUGCCUGAGAUUCACUGACACAUUUUUCCUUCUUGGCUUCUUUUCUCUAGAAUUCAUGCAUAGUUUUUUUUUUUAAAGUAUUUUAUACAUGUCAAUCCUUGUUUUGGGUUCUAUGAUUAUGGAAAUGAAUUUAAAAGAAUCAAUUCUUGCUUCUAAGUACCUCACAGGCUGUUAUAGACAAUCAGACAGAGAUAUGAUGGCAAAAUGCUGUAUUGUGGGGGCUCUUUGUAACAGACCUAGGAUAUCUUGGACUCUUCUGAUCCUGGCUGGAUGAAGACUCUUAAGAUAUAAAUGGCUAUGCCAUUUACUAGCUGGGUAAUAGAAACAAUUUAACUUCACUGGGCUCUAGUUUGCUUAUGGACAAAAUAAGGACUUUAAGAUCCCUACUUCUCUGAAUAGUGAGGUCAGAGUCAUAAAACACCUGUGAGGUUAUUAAAACGAUGGCUAGGUGUGGUGAUGCACAUCUAUCGUCCUAGGACAUGGGAGGUAGAAGAAGGAGGACCAGGAAGAGUUCAAGGCCAGUCUGGGCCACAUGAGACCUACUUUCAUAAAACCAAGUAACCACAUCCACACGCUGGGAUGGAAUGACGGCAAUAAUGAUAAAUUUGGUCAACUUUUGUGCUAGAUACUGGGAGUAUGGCAUGGGCAAUCUAAUAUUUCAAGCUCAGCCAUGGAAGAGCAUAAAGCCAAACCCUUCCUGCACAUUAACACACACGUAUCCUGUGAAAGGAAGGAGGCACACUAUCAGGGGAGGCGCACCCACUUCUGAACCUGUGACAAUUUGUCUGAAACAGAAAUAUUUUCACCCAAGGGUUUAGGAGGAUAGUGUUAUUUUUUUUCCUUCAAUGGUUAAUAUUGACUGACAACUUGGCAGGAUUAGACUCACCAAAUAGACAAGCCUCUGGAUACGUGAGUGAGGGAGUGUCUAGAUUAAGUUAGUUGAAGUGGGAAGACCCAUCCCAAAUGUGGACAGCACUAUUCCAUGGGCUGGGGUUUCAGACUGCUCACAUAAAAAUGAGGACGGUAACCCCUCCGCUCAGGGCUGGGGCAUCGGUGCGGAAGAGGAGGCAGACAGCCUGUAAGAGCCGGUGGGGAUGGAGGACACCACGGAAGCAGUGUCUCCCAGGACAACAGGAUUGAUGCAAGCGGGAACUCGUGGACACUGUGGCCUCAUGCCCAAGGCCUGCACAGGUCCGAGCCAGGUGGGGUCCCGGUGCUGAGAAGAAGUGGACAUGAUCUCCCAUCCUGACCCAGAGGCUAUCUCCAACUGACAGCCACCGACAGGAGAAACUGGUAUUCUCCAAUGGAGUCUCACUCUGUAUCGAAACCACACUCAAGGGCGGGCCGCAUGCACAGCUAUAGCGGCCGACAGAAAAUGAACUCAUUGGCAUUUUCAGGGAUGUUUUGUCUCUUCCAUCCUGGGUUUGGACUUCCUUUUUUUUAACCUUACUUGUCUUGCUUUUCUGUUUCCCCAUUUUAUGUUUUUCAUGGGUUUUAUGUGUA